rnacentral:antisense_RNA from 1 species
AAAAUGUUUGAACAAUUGGAUUUCAAACAUUUUCGUUUUGUGGAGUGGUGCUCACCAAGUGGUACAGCCCUAAGCAAGUGAACACAAACACAUUUAAGUGUAUUUUGUCUGAUUAGAUGUUAGCCAGUUAUGCUGUUUCAUUCAAAUGUCUGAAAAAAUCAAUUGACUAUUCCCUUUUCCUAAAGGGCAGAGACAGAUAAUCUCACUUCCAGAGAAAUGACUUGGAGAAAAAAAAGUGUUGGUCUUUUUGCUCUUUUGUAAUUAAAUCCGGAUGUACCUCAAAAGACUUAAGACUGUGGUGAUAAGAUGCUUUCCUCAGCAGAAAGGAGGGAAAAAAAACAACUGGAACUCAAAGCUUGAAAUUCUGUGGCAAAACAUGAGAUGUCCAGGAUUGGAGGUUGAAAAGAUUUCACUACAGUGUUCUGCAAUAGUUGGAGCAGAUAACUUCCAGUGUAGCCACAGCCAUGGACUCCAGAUUUCCAGAUUUUCAAGAACUGGACCUGGAACCCGAAAGAGCUUGUCAGGAUGCGGCAGGAACACUGGAGGUAGAUUUUUUUUUAUUUUUGAAUUUGGGGACUGUUGACCUUGCUGUGAGAAAAGAGACAACGACUGAGCAAGCACUACCACCAGCACUGUUACUGGGAAUUAGAAGACCUGAGUUUCUGUCCAGACCCUCAGUGCAAACUGAGGAUGCUCCAUCCAAAGUGAAUUAUGUCCUGUGCCUCCUGAUUGCUGAGUGUUCACCUGGACCUUCUGACUACCUUCCCUGUGCUAUUCCAUCAGCCUACAGACCUGGUACCUGGAUUUUUGCCCGAGAUGAUUCCUACCACCUUACUACUGAAGAAGACACCCAUUCCAGUGGACCACUGUGACCCAGGAGGCAUUCAGCCAUCAUGAUGUGGCCUUUACCUCCACUCCUGUCUUGUUCUACCCAGAUUCAGCACAGCCCUUUAUAGUGAAGUCAGAGUCCUCAAGCCAAAUAGCUAAAGCUGUUUUAUCACAACAAAGGCCUAGUUUGUUCCAUGAGUGUGCAUUUCAUUUCUUCAGUUAAAGCCUUCAGAGACACACAAUAAAUUUGGACCAGGGGAUUUUUUAGUUAUUAAUGCUCUCUGAAGAAAGGCAACAUCUUUUUGAGAGCAGCAUUGGACCACACCCCACAAUCUCAAAUGAUUGAAAUUCAUGAACAUCUAGGAUCCCGUGAAGGUCACUGGACCCUGUUUUUUCUACUUCAAAUCCUGUAGUAGCCUACUGAAUGAGAAAACAUAUUCUGACCCAUUGGGAUCAAAUCAAAGGCACAGUGAACUCCUCAUAGCAUCUUCUUUGGAAUUACUCAGGAACCAGAACUUUUUACACAAAUGUAAGAAAUUCUACCAAGGAGUCCCCUUACCUAACAGCAUCUCACAAGGCUGCACCAGAUUCCAGAAGAGGCUUCUCUUGAUACAUCAAGCAUUUUGUGACCGACUUAUUCUUAGAUCAUUGGUUUUCCAAAGGCUUUGUGGCCAUGAAGCCCUUUGAGUGAAAACUGUGCAGAAGCCCAGAGUAAAAGUGAAGCUGCUCUGGAUGAAGUAGUGAAGCAAGAGUAGGGGCCUGAAUCCUGCUACAACUAUCUUCCUUUACCACCGUGGUGACACCUAAGGGGACUUCCUUACAACACCUUGAACUCUUCCGAACACAGUUUGAAAACCACUGCCCCAGACAGCAAUAUGUUUGACCUGAAUGGCAUUCCAAUCUUUUCUGUACCUCCACUCAGCACAGUUCAUGUUCAGUAGAUGCUGAACAUUCUUAGAAAUACUGUGUGUGAACUUAGAAAAGUGCAAGAAGACAGGCAUGUCUUUGACCCCAGAAAUGAUCAUGGGCUGAAGAUGGUGUCAAGUGAACCUAGAUUAACAGCCCUCCACUCCAGAUGGAUAUCCAGUGAUUCCUAGAAUGGGAUAUAGCCAGAGAACAAUUCUAUGCACCCUACACUGACAGACUCCCUUAAGCAACACCAGAUGCUCUACUGGUACUUGAAGUACAUGACUUUGAAGUCUUGACCCUCCAUGAAUACCUGAAUUAUCAGCAAGCGGGUUUUGAAGCUGGUGCCUCAUUGAGGCCAUAUUAGAGCAACUUGUACAUUUGACCUCUUGUUAUCAGCCAUGGUACUCUACUUCGUGUGCAAGAGAUAACUAUGAAAGCCAAAUUCAAAUACUGGCAACAUUUCCUAAAGGGGCUCAAUAUCUAUCAUUCAUCUUCUUUUCCAAACUACACAUCACUGUAUGACUCAACCAGUAGCAGUUAUAUUGCCCCUUGGUUUUUAUUCAGUUUAACUACUGUUUCCAAGAUAAAUGAGCUAAUAAGCUUUAAAAAAAAAAAAAAAGGCUGAAUUCUUUUUUCUUCGUCACUGGCAUAUCUGCCUAUUCUCCAGAAUUACGACUAUUCAGCUCACUUUAACAGUUGAACUUCAAGCGACAAUCUUUGAACACCCCUUCUCAUGUGAUUUAAAAUGAAACCAUUUGGAAAAGUUUCUUCUAGCCAGUAAUAGAUUUUUUUUUUAAUUGCUCUGCCUUGUGCCGAGAGAUGUUCUUUUAAGAUGAAUCUUUUGAUGUCUGAUACCACCAAAUAUAGGUGGUAGGGAGAGUUGGAGGCUGGCCCUUUGAGCAGGCCAUUAGCUUACUUGCUGGGCAUUUCCGAUAGCUUAUUGCCUACCUUUUUGCUGGAAACAAACUGAUUUGAAAAACAAAAUCUAUGAAGACUGCAGCUAAGGAUUUUAUCGGUAGACUUAAGAGCUUUUGUCCUUGUGGAUAUUUUAGUGGAACCACAUCAGUCUCAAUACCGUCAUUUUACACUGACUCAGAGCAGCUGACUUCAUUCCUUGCCAUGAUAUAUAUUUAAGGCAGGCAUUGUAACAGACAUAAAGACAACUUAUCUGUUUCAGCAGGAAGGAUUCAGUUUAUGAACUCUCAGACCAGAUCACGUUGAACAAGGAGACUUUGAUGUGUGUCAUGAGAAAACUCAUUCUUUACUUCCCAGUCAAUUUAAAGGCCAGCUAUCCUGAGCUACUCGAAUGGAUGCACUGGUUAAACAUUGGAAAUAGUUUGUUUAUAUCCUUGUCUCUCUCUAGGCCAAUUGUGAUUACAUGACUCGACUCUACAUCUCGUCAAACAAGGCCUAGGUCUGGUUGCUGUAGACUGCUCGCCCUCAACAAAUAAAAUCUGGUUGACUAGCCUCCUUGUAUAUACAACUAUUAUUUGUUAAGAAGAAAUUAUCGUCAAUUUUCUACUACCUUCCAAUUGUCAGCUCUUUUUUUCCUCUCUGGUUUUUCCUAUACUUUACAGAAAAAGACAUUGAUCUAUACUGCCAUUCCCUCUAAUCCUGCCAUACUCAGUCAAAAGGAAUGACUUAAGAUGAAGAUGAUCAUCUGCUCAAGUCUAAAAUAUACAUUGUAUAUAAGAAUUGGUGAUUAGAAAAGCAAAAAACCUAAAACUUAAAUCUAGGAGUCUGUAUACUGUCUCCAUGUCUCCAUGCCUCAGAUCUCAUCUAAAUCUUUGAACAGCACCAUUCAACCAAUCUGAGGCCUUGACUUGCUUGUAAGAUGAUUCUCAGAGAUCGGCUGAGUUAAAAAAGAUGACGACUUGAUUACCAAAGAAAGUAGGGCCAACUUUGACAAAUCUGGCUCUGCUGACCCUGUCACUCCCAGAUGUAGCAUAGACUCCUAAACAGAACCUCAAGUCUGAUUGAGGAUAAGGCCUUCUCCUGUGCUGAAAGUUCUUUGGCAGAUGAGCAAGAAACUGAAAGCUGAUGUACCUGACUGGCUCUGUAAGAUCAGAAAACUAUAUCCAGAACAAGCCCUAUGGAUUAACCCCUGAGUACCCAGAGUAAAAACUAAUUUACAGAACUUCCUUAUUGAUCUGCUGAUUCUUCCAGAUCAUAUUCUGGCUAUUGGUAUGGCUGGCCUUUCUGAAGGUACCCUGCUUGUCUAUUUUCCUGACUCAGCUCUUGCCUGCCUUUUUCACAUGUUGCUGCAAUUAGACUCACCGUGAGAAGACUACAGUCAAUUUCAGUCUAUCUUGUGCCCAAUACAACAAGGAUUUUUAAUAGUAACAACCCACACCUCACCCACUAGGACUCAAUGUUCACAACAGGAAGGACCAUUGCUGCAUACUCCUUGACCAGCAACUUUUUUAAAGAUAUUUUUAAGUGCAGAGUAGGCCUCUAUUCCUGUAUGUAAUUGUUCAUUUUCAGCACCUGGAACCUCAUCUAUCGGGUCUGGAAGGAACACAGCAGUUCGAAAGCCGCGUCCAUUUCUCUCCUUCAGUAGUGCAGAAAUGAGUCCGAUUCACCAGUACACACAGAACUGUACCAGUUCAACCUAGCAAAAGAAGAAAAGUUUCCACUGUACUUAAAAUUUACAGCUGACUCAAAUUGCCUCACAGAAUUAUUUGAUGUAGAAGGCUAGUUGUCUUACUUCAGAUCAGCAGGACAGUUGGGCUCUCAGACUCAUGACCACUGAGUUUGCUUGUAUUGAAACUGUGGUUUCAUCCAACGUAUGCUAUUGGACAUGAUUAUUAUUCCAUUCAAAUGGAUUACAGACUUCUUGAGGACAGGACAAACUUAUCUCUCAUGGUGUUUUUUUAGAAUACUUUUAUAACCAAGGAAGAAACCAUGCCAGCUGUUACCAUUCAACUUCUUAAGCAAAGAUUAAGCUUUUUCAUAUCUGUUCUUAUCCUGGACAUCAGUAGUUUUUAAUUGCCCAGCAUCCGUUCCAUCUUGUUGUAACAACUCCCUGAUGUUUCUUAAAACCACCUCUUCCUAUUUUCAGUCUGUGGUUUGGACAGUCUGACCCAACCUUGAGCUUUGUGGGUGAAAAUGUAAUUCAGACCUCAUCAAUCAGCAAAUCCAUCUGAACUGUGGAGGAGAAGCUCUCUUUACUGAGGGUGCUUUAGCUUUGUAGGAUGAAAACCUCAAACCAACAGGGCCUACCAUGUAGAGAAUGAAGCCAGUGCAGGGGAAAGCAGAGCCAAAAUAUGGAGAGACUUGAAUCCUGAUGACAGCGUUUGUGCCCCUGGAUCCAACCGUGCCUGAAGCUAGAAUAUCCCCUGGACUUUUCAGUUAUGUGAACCAAUAAAUACCCUUUUUUGCUUAAGUUACUUUGAGUUGGGUUUCUGUUACUUGAAAUUGAAUCCACACUAAUAUAUCUACCAACAUUGAGACUUGACAGAUCCAAGUAUUUAUUAAGCUGGAGGUCAUGGUCACUGAAAUUACUUUCCAAAGUGGAAGACAAAAUGAAACAGGAACUGAGAGAAUAUUUAAGAUCCCACAGAAGCAUAAAAAUGACAUGGUAGAAAGUAAUAGAAAACCUAAAUGUCUGUCAUUAAAGGAUAGGUUAAGGUGUGGUUCAGCCAUAUAGGAAAAUCUCGUAUCUGUUAAAAUGAAUAAAGUGCAUUCAUUGUGUAUGGAAAAAUGGCCAUGAUACAUUAGGUGAAACAAGUUAUUAAUAGAAAAGUGUACAGUGUGAACUCAUUUUAAAAUGUGUGUGCUUAUGUUUAUAAAUGCAUAGAAAGGUCUAUUCACAGCUUUCUUUGAACAGUGUAGAUCACAUGAAACUUUCAACUUUAUACAUUUCUGUAUUAAUAUUUUACACUACCCACAUUAUUUUUAAACUUUAUUUUAAAUAAAGAAUUUUUUAAAUUAAA